UACGAAGGGGGCUAGCGUUGCUCGGAAUCACUGGGCGUAAAGGGCGCGUAGGCGGCGUUUUAAGUCGGGGGUGAAAGCCUGUGGCUCAACCACAGAAUGGCCUUCGAUACUGGGACGCUUGAGUAUGGUAGAGGUUGGUGGAACUGCGAGUGUAGAGGUGAAAUUCGUAGAUAUUCGCAAGAACACCGGUGGCGAAGGCGGCCAACUGGACCAUCACUGACGCUGAGGCGCGAAAGCGUGGGGAGCGAACAGG
rnacentral:rRNA from 1 species